GGCCCCGUGGUGUAACGGUUACACGUCUUCUCCCUAUAGGGAGAAGACGUGUAAAGAAGAUGAUAAUUGUAUAGCUAUACAAUUAUCAUCUUCGAGAUUCUGAGGAAAUUCCCUGUUCGAAUCAGGGCGGGGCCA